UACGGUGUCUCGUGGGUGGCUCCUCGAUACGUCGUGGCUUUAGUGCCGGUGUAGCUGCUCUACUUCUUGUCGCUUCAAGCCCGUGUCGCUCGGACCUGCCUCUGGCCACUCGUGCCGUACCCCUCUUAGAAGGUGGAUGUUUCUGAAGCUGCUGGCUCUUAUCUUAGUGUCAAACCAGCAAACAUGGAGUUAGUUCUAUCUUGCCUCUCGGUACUCUUCGAAUACUUCCUAAUGAAGUUGGGGUUACGUUAUAUAGACUUCUUCAUAAAAGAGGUAGCUAAAGCCUACGUAGCUUCAGUAAAGGAGCGGUAACGUUUUCAACGUCUUUUCUUACUAGGCACCAAAUUUAACUCUUCUUCACGUGGCCCUCUCUAUUCACGCUCGGGUAAUUAAUUCACACAGCGCAGACAAGUUCACGUACGUACACCAACGAGCCGGCUCCGGUAACUACUAAUACAGACGUGACCCCUUCUAAGUUAGGAUCUCCUUUAACUCCGUGUGAAACCCCUACGGGAAUCCCCGUGGGCCGUAGGCAACUCCCCAUAUCGAAACCUACUGUACUACGCCCGGCCCUCCGCCGGUAGGUUUCGAUAAGUGUUUAAUUAGACCAACCCCCUCUCUCAUCUCCCCCUAGUACGUACACCACUUUAUAAUACCACACCAUAGACCAACCUUCCCCUCUCUCCUCUUCGCCUGGUAAUAGCGAGGGGGUUCAAACAGAGCCUAAACGACCUUUUGUCUGCAGACUUGAUAAGCGCCUGCCUACUCCUAGAAGCAACCUACUGUUUUGGGGAAGGGGUGGCCGCUCGGCGAGAGGUGGAGGACCUACGCAGCGGCCGGUGGAGUGUAGGUCGCGCCCAGCGGCGACGGAUGGAGCUCGUCGUCCUGGUUGUGCUCCGCUGCGGGAGCGACCGCUCCAGGUGCUGAACGGGGCGGCGCUCGGGCGGGCACGGGUGCCACGGGCGCUCGAGGCGGUGCCGCGCCUCGCGCGCCAACCGGCCGUGCGGCGCGGGGCGCGUCAGGGCUCGCUCCACGAGCUUGCGCUCGCGAUCCUCGCGCAGGGCCCGCUCGUCGCGACUGUGGCUUUCGCUACACCAACCACCCCGCCGGCGCGGCCUCCAGCAGCAGCAGGUACGUCCGCUGCCCGAGCCGCCGCCGGAGCAACGGCGGGUGGUCGAGCGUGAGCCGAGACAACAAGAUCUGCACUGGACAAUAUUAGGUAGCAGGUAACGAGUAGCGGUAAGGUUUGUGAGCGACGAAAGCGGCUCGGGGAGAUGUGUGAGCGCCUCGAUGUCGUUCCGAUUUACCCGGCACCGGGCGGGUCGAGUACAACUAAACAAAAGAAUAGCCCGGGCGAGUUAAAGGCCCCUCUGGGCAAACGCAAAAGAGAGCGAAGCCGGGGCGCAGCACGGAGACAGGGUAGGGGAGGGCACAGCUCUCUCUGUCUCUCUUUCUCUAGGUACCGCUGACUCGACGGGACAGGCGAACUAAGUCUUCCCACCAACAGUCCGCAGGCCGCGAGAAGGAGGCCGACGGGGCGGUGGAGGAAGAGGAAGCGGAAAAGGGGGCGAUCUCCAGACGUUGUAGAGAGCCAAGGCGGGGUAGCGGCCGGGGUAAAAAGAGGCGGGCCGCAAAGACACGCAGCAUAAGCCCUAAUGGAACAACGUUUUCAGAGAACGAGAACUUAGAUGCUUCUUUCGUAGUUUACUAAGCAGUCAAUCAUUUAGACGACAAAUAUUGCUCUCACGAGACACCUAACACUAGACGAGAAAACGAAACCAUCGUUGGACAACGACGAGUUUAAAGAUU
rnacentral:rRNA from 1 species